rnacentral:rRNA from 1 species
AAUAGAUACCCUGGUAGUCCACGCCGUAAACGAUGAGUGCUAAGUGUUAGAGGGUUUCCGCCCUUUAGUGCUGCAGCUAACGCAUUAAGCACUCCGCCUGGGGAGUACGGUCGCAAGACUGAAACUCAAAGGAAUUGACGGGGGCCCGCACAAGCGGUGGAGCAUGUGGUUUAAUUCGAAGCAACGCGAAGAACCUUACCAGGUCUUGACAUCCUCUGACAACUCUAGAGAUAGAGCGUUCCCCUUCGGGGGACAGAGUGACAGGUGGUGCAUGGUUGUCGUCAGCUCGUGUCGUGAGAUGUUGGGUUAAGUCCCGCAACGAGCGCAACCCUUGAUCUUAGUUGCCAGCAUUUAGUUGGGCACUCUAAGGUGACUGCCGGUGACAAACCGGAGGAAGGUGGGGAUGACGUCAAAUCAUCAUGCCCCUUAUGACCUGGGCUACACACGUGCUACAAUGGACGGUCAAAGAGCUGCAAGACCGCGAGGUGGAGCUAAUCUCAUAAAAACCGUUCUCAGUUCGGAUUGUAGG